rnacentral:misc_RNA from 1 species
GUGAAUCAUCGAAUUUUUGAACGCAAAUUGCACUCCCUGGUAUUCCGGGGAGUAUGCCUGUUUGAGGGUCACCAAAUCAACAUCGAUUAACGUUGCUUUUUUUUUCUUAAAGGUGAUGUAAUAUCGGAUUUGAGCUUUUCUUUAUUUUUUUUUUUUAAUAAAGUGGCUUAAAAUUUAUUUUUUUUGGUAUCAUCGAGCGUAUUUUACGAUCAUUUCGAUUAAAGAAACGCUUUUGAAUUUUUACCAUCCUUUUUAAUGUAAUACGUUUGAACUAUGGUCUGUAAUCAUAUCUAGUCUCAUU